AGGACGAACGCUGGCGGCGUGCUUAACACAUGCAAGUCGAACGGUGACCCAGGGCUUGCCCUGGUGAUCAGUGGCGAACGGGUGAGUAACACGUGGGCAACCUGCCCCAGACUCUGGGAUAACUCCGGGAAACCGGGGCUAAUACCGGAUACGAAUCGAGUUGGCAUCUUCUCGAUUGGAAAGUUUUUCGGUCUGGGAUGGGCCCGCGGCCUAUCAGCUUGUUGGUGGGGUAAUGGCCUACCAAGGCGACGACGGGUAGCCGGCCUGAGAGGGCGACCGGCCACACUGGGACUGAGACACGGCCCAGACUCCUACGGGAGGCAGCAGUGGGGAAUAUUGCGCAAUGGGCGAAAGCCUGACGCAGCGACGCCGCGUGAGGGACGACGGCCUUCGGGUUGUAAACCGUCUUUCAGCAGGGAUGAAGCGAAAGUGACAGUACCUGCAGAAGAAGCACCGGCUAACUACGCGCCAGUAGCCGC
rnacentral:rRNA from 1 species